rnacentral:rRNA from 1 species
AGCGAACGCUGGCGGCAGGCUUAACACAUGCAAGUCGAGCGGGCACUUCGGUGUCAGCGGCAGACGGGUGAGUAACACGUGGGAACGUGCCCUUCGGUUCGGAAUAACUCAGGGAAACUUGAGCUAAUACCGGAUACGCCCUUUUGGGGAAAGGUUUACUGCCGAAGGAUCGGCCCGCGUCUGAUUAGCUAGUUGGUGGGGUAAUGGCCUACCAAGGCGACGAUCAGUAGCUGGUCUGAGAGGGUGGUCGGACACACUGACACUGAAUAACGGGUCAGACUCCUACGGGAGGCAGCAGUCGGGAAUUUGGGCAAUGGGCGAAAGCCUGACCCAGCAACGCCGCGUGAAGGAUGAAGUCUUUC